rnacentral:rRNA from 1 species
GACGAACGCUGGCGGCGUGCUUAACACAUGCAAGUCGAACGGUGAACCUCUUCGGAGGGGAUCAGUGGCGAACGGGUGAGUAACACGUGGGCAACCUGCUCCCGGCUCUGGGAUAACUCCAAGAAAUCGGGGCUAAUACCGGAUGUUCACCGCUUCCCGCAUGGGUGGCGGUGGAAAGGGUUUCCGGCUGGGGAUGGGCCCGCGGCCUAUCAGCUGGUUGGCGGGGUAGUGGCCUACCAAGGCGACGACGGGUAGCCGGCCUGAGAGGGUGACCGGCCACACUGGGACUGAGACACGGCCCAGACUCCUACGGGAGGCAGCAGUGGGGAAUAUUGCGCAAUGGGCGGAAGCCUGACGCAGCGACGCCGCGUGGGGGAUGACGGCCUUCGGGUUGUAAACCUCUUUCAGCAGGGACGAAGCGCAAGUGACGGUACCUGCAGAAGAAGCACCGGCCAACUACGUG